UUCUGUUCGCGGUGGGACAACGUGGGAGCUGCAGGAGGGACGGCGGUGGGGAUCAGUUGUGUGUAAUCAUAGUCCAACUGGCCAUCAGGCGCACUGGAACAAAUCAUGGUGGGACCCUGCGUCAUUGGACCGCUGGACUGUCAAUACAUCCAUAAAGAGAGGACGCAGCGUCGAGGCACCGAGUCGACAUCAGAGAGGAUGAGAAAUCAAGGUCUCGUCAGUCUGAUCGUUGAACAGCUAACCAUUACUGACGGCCUGGUAGUAGCACGCGCCUGAGGAAUGAUGGAAAUGAGUGACAAAGGCCAACAGCAUUGAGAUUCAUCAGCCAAUCCUGGAUCUGCCAAACUUCCACGAUGGUUCUGAGAUCUGGAGUCCCCCAAGUGGACUAUGUUCACAAAAUCUACCAGGAACUACACAAGAAGUUGAUGUAAAUUACAGCCGCUUAAUUUCUUUUAGUGCAACUUUUGUCUUCAUUGCAAUAUUUUUUUUUUUUAGUUUUAUCAAUGUACCGGGCAUACAUGCUCCAUGCAUAUAUUUCAGAAUAUUGAAAAAUAUAACGACUAGUUGCCCAUAUAUGGAAAUGUAUUGUUUAAUAUAUUACAUAAUAUUUUACAAUAUGUUGCCAUAUAGUUUUGUUUUGUAAGGGAGCUGCCAUCCCCUCCUGCCUAGUUUCCGCUAGGUACAGUCACCUGUCAUAUUCAAGCCACCCACCAGAUGUCCCCGGACUUUCCUGUCUCCAUAUCCAACUGCUCACCUGUUUUCCAGUCACUGGAACAUCGCUACCUGUCUACACACCUGUUCCAUAUGCCCCACAUCUGAUCCCCUGGAUUUGUACCAGCCCUGCUUCCCCAGUCCCGCUUCCCCAGCCCCGUUUGCUAUUGUCUCUGUGUGUUUCCCAUUUGGCUGCUCAUACUGUGGACCCCCUACUGGUGUGUUUUUACCUGAUGUCUUUACCUGCCUGUCCAUCUGUCUGUCUGUAAGACUGGUCCACCUCAUUUCUUCUAUUAGAGUUCCUUCGCUGCAUCAUUCUGCCUGUGUGUGUCUGCACUUGGGUCCUCCCUGACUGUGCUCCCAUGACAAACAAGGUACAUUUGUGACAGCCAAGUGUUACUGAUGGCUACAGUCAUGG